UGGUAAAAAGAGGAUUCAGGACACAAAUGUAGGUGAUGUAAGGAUCUAAGCUUAGGCUUGAACCAGUGCAAAAUAUAUCAAAUCAAAUAGCAUAAACCAAAUGCAGUAUUCACAUCAUUAACAUAGCAUACGCGUGGUUUCAUCUCCGAUGUAGAGAGCUCUCCACAUUCAGGCCCAUACACAUUCAAGGUGGACGUUUUCCUCCAGCACGGCUUCUCUUUAGGAAGGGUGCAUGUGCUCCUCUCUGCUUUUGCUGCUAGCUGUCUUUUCUCACGAUUUCUUCACGCAAGAUCCCUUUUUUCACGGAUUUGGUUGAUCAGGUUAGGGAUUUUUUCAUAGAGUCUCAAAUUGAAGAUCUGCAAUCAAUCAAUCAGGUAUGGAAUUUCUACCUAAUCUACUUCCUCAGUGGUAAUGUGAUUGGCAGAAUUUUUCCAACAAACUUCAUUAAGAAAAGAAUGGGCUUUGUGACACUAAGAUGGCAUCACGGUAUUGUUUGUCUAACUGGCAAAUCUCCUCCUUCAAAGAGAAAUCUAUGGAGCAGGUUAUCUUCCCUUGAAAAUGUCUUCUGCACACCUAAUCAUGUUUUGCCAUAUAUUCUUCAUUGAAAAUGUGGGAAUCCUUAUCAAGAUUUUCAUCGUGUGAUUAGUUCUCCCUAUGCCAUUGAAUCGAGAUGCAUAUGGACUGAGAUUUUCUUUUUCCUCCAUUUUCAUGUUCAAUUUGAAUUCAAAAAGGUUGUGUUUGUUUGGAACAGAUGUCAUUGGUCUUUUAACUUCGGUGGGAGAAGAGAAAGAAUAUGCAAAAGAGGAAAAAAUUGUGAAAAUAAUUGUGCUGAAAUUAACUUCAAAAGAGUAUGUUGAUUCAGUCAUUUAUGGUGGUUUCUUUUUGUCUUUGAAUCAUCUUUUUUUUUCUUAUUUUCUGUUUCAUUCUUUUUCAUCUUUUGAGUUUCAGUCUUACAAUGCGUUGUGCAUUAUUUGGGGACUAUGUUAAUCAAGUAAAUCAUUUCCUAGCCUCUGGCUAUGUGGAGCAGCCUGUUGUUGUCAUUCAACUUGCGAAAGUCAAGUUCUUUAGGGGAGGUGUUCUCCCAAGUUCUAAAUACAUGUUCCCACUAUGGAGAGAA